rnacentral:rRNA from 1 species
UGGGGAAUUUUGGACAAUGGGCGAAAGCCUGAUCCAGCAAUGCCGCGUGUGUGAAGAAGGCCUUCGGGUUGUAAAGCACUUUUGUCCGGAAAGAAAUCCUUGGCUCUAAUACAGUCGGGGGAUGACGGUACCGGAAGAAUAAGCACCGGCUAACUACGUGCCAGCAGCCGCGGUAAUACGUAGGGUGCAAGCGUUAAUCGGAAUUACUGGGCGUAAAGCGUGCGCAGGCGGUUUGCUAAGACCGAUGUGAAAUCCCCGGGCUCAACCUGGGAACUGCAUUGGUGACUGGCAGGCUAGAGUAUGGCAGAGGGGGGUAGAAUUCCACGUGUAGCAGUGAAAUGCGUAGAGAUGUGGAGGAAUACCGAUGGCGAAGGCAGCCCCCUGGGCCAAUACUGACGCUCAUGCACGAAAGCGUGGGGAGCAAACAGGAUUAGAUACCCUGGUAGUCCACGCCCCUAAAACGAUGUCAACUAGUUGUUGGGGAUUCAUUUCCUUAGUAACGUAGCCAACGCGUGAAGUUGACCGCCUGGGGAGUACGGUCGCAAGAUUAAAACUCAAAGGAAUUGACGGGGUCAUAGCUG